rnacentral:rRNA from 1 species
AGCCCAGACUCCUACGGGAGGCAGCAGUGGGGGAUAUUGCACAAUGGGGGAAACCCUGAUGCAGCGACGCCGCGUGAAGGAAGAAGUAUCUCGGUCUGUAAACUUCUAUCAGCAGGGAAGAAAAUGACGGUACCUGACCAAGAAGCCCCGGCUAACUACGUGCCAGCAGCCGCGGUAAUACGUAGGGGGCAAGCGUUAUCCGGAUUUACUGGGUGUAAAGGGAGCGUAGGCGGCGACGCAAGUCAGAAGUGAAAGCCCGGGGCUCAACUCCGGGACUGCUCUGGAAACUGCGUCGCUGGAGUACGGGAGGGGCAGGCGGAAUUCCUGGUGUAGCGGUGAAAUGCGUAGAUAUCAGGAGGAACACCGGCGGCGAAGGCGGCCUGCUGGACCGCGACUGACGUUGAGGCUCGAAAGCGUGGGGAGCGAACAGGAUUAGAUACCCCUGUA